ensembl:lncRNA
CCCGACCCAGGGAUCGAACCAAGGUCUCCUGCAUUGUAGACAGACGCUUUACCGCCUGAGCCACCAGGGAAGCCACCAGGAGUGGGUGACUCUACUGAGGAUGUUGUGAGCUACUGAAUGGACAAGACCUGCAUGGAAUUAAAGGCCAAGCAUCCCAAAUUUCCUCAAACACUGACGAGAAACGUGUAUCCAAGGAGUAAGAAACUUAAGACAGAAUGAGUUGGGGUAAGGAAGUACAAGAUAUGGGUAUCACUGACAAAGUUAAUUUGGUUCUGGUGACAUUUUGUUGCUAACCAAGCUUGUGUGCUGAUAAUCCUUAUUUGUAAAGAAGUUACAGCACUUCCUGAUGUAUCUAAAGACAAAUUUCGUUCAAUAAUUGGUGUAAAUAUGUUUAGUCCCUUUGAUGUCAU